rnacentral:tRNA from 1 species
GGAUCCAUGGUGUAAUGGUUAGCACUCAAGACUCUGAAUCUUGCGAUCCGAGUUCAGAUCUCGGUGGAACCU